UUUCUUAGCUUUCUCUACUAUCCGUUUUCUUCUUCUCCGUGUUUUUUUCAGAAUCCAAUGUUUGAAUUUAAUCAAAUUGUUCCUAUAAUUUCCCUCUGUCUCAGUCCCGUCGUUUUGUUUCCCAAAAAAAAAAAAUUGCUACUUUUGUAAUGGGCUCAAGGGAAAACUCAAGCUUUGAUACCUUUGCCCGAUCGUAGCUUAUAAUUUCGGUGGAAAGGAUGAUAGUUCGAUUGCCCCAAAUUUGCUUCUCCACGUGAAUAUUGCACUGUUCGCGAGCGAGGAUGAGGGCGGCUUCAUUAAUCGUAUCCUGCUGUGCUGCGUGUGCAUGCGACGUGUACCAAACUGUGGUCUCAGGAAUUAGAAGGAGGUCGGCUUGGAUUGCAUAUUCUGGCCUCUUUGGGCUUUCUCUGAUGGUGUCAUGGAUUUUCCAUGAGGUCGCUGCCCCUCUAAUGAAGAAGCUCCCUAGCGUGAAAAAUCAGAGGGGUUCCCAGGACGGUAUGCACCAUGGUAAAUGGAUGGUGAAUAUCACAUGCUGUGCAUUUUGGUGAUUCUCAUGUUCUUCAUUCCAAAUGGGAUCAUCCGCUUUUAUGGUCAGCCCCAUCUCAUCACUGUGAUAUCAUGUUUCCUGUGAAAAUGUUUUGCUUAUAGUGUUUUACUUAAAGAAAUGAGGAAAGAUAUGAACAGAUGGUCAAGCAGAAGGGCCAUCACAGUUAUCCUGUUAUUUUUACUGGUUACAGCGUCAUAUCAAAAUUUGGUCUCAGGAUUCUUUCUUGUUGUUCAAGUCUUUCUUUUGCAUGACUUCGUUUAUGGAUGGAAUGAAAAAUGGGUGGAAUAUGAUGAGCAGUUCUGGUUGGUACUGCCAUCGCAUUUACGUUGAUUAUCUAAUAUCUACUCUUAAGUUUUGCUUUCUAUGUCAACCAGAUCUUAUUUUUGUGCACAGGCAUAUCACCUUGUUCAUAUUUUCAGUUGUUUGUUACGUGGCCAUUUUUGUACUCUCCAGGCUUCUCUUUCAUUGGUUCACACCACCCGGACAAGACUGCAGAGUCAACACAUUCUUCAUUGUCAUGACCUUGAUUCUUGUGUCUGUGUUGCCUUUUUCGCGUUGCGCCCUGCAGUAAGUUUCUUGUGUCCUGUCCCUGCUACAGU